GAUUUAAAAAAAAAAAAAAAUCCGACAGUUUUAUUCUUCUCCCCUCCCCCAGCCUCAAGCCAAGAACCAAACCGGCCUACCAAGAAGAUCCGACUGACUGGUAUGGGCCAGUGCCCUCUUUUCACUCACAGUCCUCAGGGGCAACAACUCUCCCCGGUGCAUUAGGUCCUAGAAACCAAAUUAUAGGCUGCCUCAUAAAUAGAGCUUGGCUAUUUAAUCAACUGCCCCUGAGCUGGCAAACAGUCCUGAGUCCUGCACACAAAUGAGGAUUUUUUUACAUGCAAUUACUCUGCCAUUUUCCUCAGAGCUGGGGUGUAAUGGGAAACCUGGAGGCCAGUGAAAAUCUGGAAGCUAGAAUGGAUUUCUCUCCAAAGAAAGCCCUCAUCCCCUUUCUUCAAUGACUGUGAAUAUGGAAAGCGCCAAAAAUCUCCUUCCCUACACGUGGGCAAGCUGUUUUGAAAACAGUCACCAUUUUUCUCUAGCAAUAAGGUAAAGUGCACAAAAAUCUAUCCACCUAGGUUGGAGGAGAUAAUGUGGAAUUUCUCUACUUUUUUUUUUUUUUUUUUAAUUCACUAGGGUUCUCUUCCACUUUUACCUUUAGAGCCCCACACCACAGUCCCAGGAACUGUUGGGCUGAGGGAACUUUUUUAGAAACUGGCCCAUCAGUUUUCCCUAGGGGCAGUGGCAACGGGAAAAGGGGGGAGGGGAGGAGCUGGGCACGUGGCUGGCCCUAGCAGCGAGACCCCGGCUAGGGGCAGUGGGUCCUCCCUUCGGUGGAGUUUUCUCCCCCACGGCCCCUGCCUUUUAACCCCACACCCAGGUAGCUCAGGAAUCCCGGCGCAGAUUGGAGAACUAGGACUAGGACAGCGCUACCCUCGCGAAAGCGCCUCGGCCAACAGCCUGAUGGCAAAUAUGGACUGAAUCGUUGACAUGGAAACCGGACUAAAGUCUCGCUAGCUCUCCCUCACUGGAGAGUUCUUAUCGCCGUCCCCGACCGCACAGCACUUAGCAAACGCGGACUGGAUCUGCGGCCUGGAGGAUCAGGCGGAGUUUCUGGGCGUAUUAACUCCAGCGGCAGAGCAGCCAAGGAAGGGGGCAGGGCUGCCAGGACAAACCGGCUGAAAAUGGCAGAGGAUGUGCUCCCAUUUUAUCCGGCUGUACAGUGUGCAUGGAUUGGGCCCGAGGACGAGGGAACAACCUAUUAAAAUCCAGAGAGUCAACUGCAAAAUGUGGAACCGAGGCCUGGAGGGUUUGCUAGGAGAGGGAAACGUUUGCAGGGAAGACAGCCCUUCUUCUCGCAAUUUGCUUCCCCUAAAUGUCUGAAAUACAAAACUCAACAAACAGAAGAUCGGGCUCGGCUCUUUCCUCCACCCAAUCCUUGUGGGAGAAGUCGUCUUAAGCCCAGGGACCCUAGUGAAGGUUUGCUUAGGUUCCUAACUAAGGCGUGGAGAAUUGCUGGAGCGCCAGGUUGUUGCCCCCACACGUUCCCGCCGCGGCACAGCAGCAGACACCCAGCAGAGCUCUCUCGAGUGCGAACUGGAGCUGCGAGUUUGAGCAAAAGGGCAACUAUGUCAGUUGACGGAAGCCAGAAGCAGAGUUCAAAGCCUGGCGUGGAUUUCCGUCUGGAGCUGUCUGUUCUUAAAGUUUGUAACUCCGUGUUAAGAAACAGCCCCUGCGGAGGCUUUGGGAUCGGUGUGAAAGUCUAGCACUACCAUCUGACAGCGAGCUGCAAAACUUUGGGCUGCAUAUUAAGCGAGGAAAGUGGAUUGAAGCGAGAGUCAAGGCAAUUCAUUAUGUUACCGGCUCCCAUACGGGAGCUGUAAAAUACGAACUGGAUCCACACACGGAGAAAAAUGGAAUGAACUCGGAAUGGCGUUCAACAGCUCUUCGCGGUAAAACUGUGCCUGCCAAGGACCUAGAAUCCCAAAGGAGCAAACCAGGAGGCCUCAAACUUGGUGGGCAUACAAUAAAUGCUUUUCUAGAUCUUUUCCCCACUCA
rnacentral:antisense_RNA from 1 species